UUCAGCCGAGGAGGUGAGAUGAGAUAUGAAUGUCCACCAGGUCGGUCUAGCGCGGAAAAACCACACUUACCAAUCCUAGAUGGACGGAACUUGAAACCCCUGUUUCGGUAUAGCGCGGGAAAACCACACUGACCAAGACAGAGGUUUAUACUUAAAUAAUAAAACGGAUAGGUAUAGCGCGGAAAAACCACACUGACCCAAUUAAACUGUAUGCGAGUUUGAGGAGAGAUUACACAACCACACUGGAAAGCGGACAGCUGCUGAAAAAAACAACAGUAAGCAAAAAGAUAAGAACAAAACAAAAUAACAAGAACACACUUGUAAAUGGUCUACCUUGUAAAAAAAAAACAGUUAACCCGUCAGAUUAUAAAACUAUAGAAUAUAUAGUCAAAAAUUAAA
rnacentral:lncRNA from 1 species